GCUCCUUCGGGAGCCUAGUGAGUGGCAACGGGUGAGUACGCGUGGGUACGUACCCUGAUCCUGGGAAUAACCCUCGGAAACGAGGGCUAAUACCGAAUGUGGCGAACGACCGGUUGGUCGCUCGCUAAAGGUGGCCUCUUCUAUGCUGCCGGGUUGGGAUCGGCCCGCGUCCCAUUAGCUAGUUGGUGAGGUAACGGCUCACCAAGGCCACGAUGGGUAGCCGGCCUGAGAGGGUGUACGGCCACACUGGCACUGAGACAAGGGCCAGUCCCCUAUGGGAGGCGCAGGCGGGAAUAGUUCACAAUGGGCGAAAGCCUGAUGACGCGACGCCGCGUGAGCGAAGAAGACCUUCGGGUUGUAAAGCUCUGUCAGGAGGGAAGAAGGCUCUACGGGUUAAUAGCCCGUGGAAUUGACGGUACCUCCAGAGGAAGCCCCGGCUAAAUACGUGCCAGCAGCCGCGGUAAUACGUAUGGGGCAAGCGUUGUCCGGAUUUACUGGGCGUAAAGGGCGCGUAGGCGGUUUGUUAAGUCGAAGGUGAAAUCCUCGGGCUCAACUCGAGAAUUGCCUUCGAUACUGGCAAACUAGAGUGGCGGAGAGGAAAGCGGAACUCUUGGUGUAACGGUGGAAUGUGUACAUAUCAAGGGGAACACCGGUGGCGAAGGCGGCUUUCUGGACGCACACUGACGCUCAGGCGCGAAAGCGUGGGUAGCAAACAGGAUUAGAUACCCUGGUAGUCCACGCCAUAAACGAUGGGUACUAGGUGUCGGGGGUAUCGAACCCUUCGGUGCCGCAGUUAACGCACUAAGUACCCCGGCUGUGGAUUAUGGUCGCAAGGCUGAAACU
rnacentral:rRNA from 1 species